UUUGUUGCCAGCCACCGCGGUUAUACAAAAAAUAUGAAUAAAUUUUAUUAGUAAUAGUUAAAUUAUAUAAAAUUAAAAUUUUAUUUUAUUUUAUUAGGUGAAAUUUUAAAAUAAAUUAAUUUUAUUUUAUUGAAGCUAGAAAAUUUUAAUUUUAAACUAGGAUUAGAUACCCUAUUAUUUUAAAUGUAUUUUUUUAUAUUAAGGUAGUAUUAGAUAUGUUCUUUAAACUUUAAGAAUUUGGCGGUAUUUUAGUCUAUUCAGAGGAACCUGUUAUAUAAUUGAUAUUCCACAUUGAACCUUACUUAAAUUUGUCUAUCAAUUUGUAUAUCGCUGUUAUUUGAUAAUUUUUUAAGAAUAAUAAUUUUCAAUAAUUUAUAUAAAAAUUAAUAUCAAGUCAAGGUGCAGUUUAUAUUUAAGUAUUAAUGGGUUACAAUAAAUUUAUUUAUACGGAAAUUAAAUUUAAAUAUUUAAUAUAAGGAGGAUUUGAUAGUAAAAUUAUAUAGAUUAAUAGUUUGAUUAUAGCUCUAAGAUAUGUACAUAUCGCCCGUCACUCUUAUUAUUAAAGUAAGAUAAGUCGUAACAUAGUAGAUGUACUGGAAAGUGUUUCUAGAAUGA
rnacentral:rRNA from 1 species